ACAAAUAGUAUAGCAUUUUUUCUAAUAUUUUUCUUUAUUGUCAUUAGGUUAGAAUGUUACUAGGAUACUUUCAGUUCUUGGUUUUAAUUCUAGUAAGCAGCUACCAAACAGAAGGUCAUGAGACUACCUGCAGAUACCCGUACAGAGAGGUUGGCACCAGUUGUUUUUACUUCAGUUCAGACAAAGCAUCAUGGGACGAAGCUUACGUCAGUUCUAUUUUUUAAAAUCUUACUUCGAUAUUUUUAUCUUGGAAAGAGUAACGUCAGUUCACUGUCAUUAUCUUUCCCUCUUCUCGAAGAAAAACAGGACCAUUUUUCUUUUUUUUUCUAGUACCUAUAAAGUAUCUCAUGAUAAAGAAACAAUUGUUUUUGUCUUUCAUUCAUUUUGUCGACCUAUCGAUCUAUUUUUAAAAGUCUCGAGCAAUAGUUUGAAUUCAUAAAAUUAAUGACAUCAUCAACUUCUCGGCAUAAUUAUAUAUCUAGUAUUUUCUAUCUUUUUAGAUUCAUUGCUUACAUAAAGGAGGAUAUUUGGCAAAUUUAGAAACGUUCAAUGAAUAUAUCUUUCUCCGCUCCUGGCUUGCUGCUUUAAAUAAUGGCAGGAGUUAUUGGAUCGGAGGACGUAAUAUCAAUCGUGAAAUACAAGGAGGAGAUUGGAGAUGGGUAAAAAAUGGUACCUUUUCGAAGAUGUCGUACUAUGCAUUUGGACCAGGGCAGCCAAGUGGAUCCAAAGGAACCCCAGAGAACUGUCUGUGGCUAUAUCCUACAUAUCAUUAUCAAUUCAUAGAUGAUAUUUGUACCUACUCAGUGUAUUAUAUUUGUGAGAAAUAAAUAUUUAUCUACAUU
rnacentral:misc_RNA from 1 species